rnacentral:rRNA from 1 species
GAUGAACGCUGGCGGCGUGCUUAACACAUGCAAGUCGAGCGGACGGACGAGAAGCUUGCUUCUUUGAUGUUAGGGGCGGACGGGCGAGUAACACGUGGAUAACCCCCCUAUAAGCCUGGGAUAACUUCGGGAAAGCGGAGCUAAUACCGGAUAAGAUUUUGAUCCGCAUGGUUCAUAGGUGAAAGACGGUCUUGGUGUCACUUAUAGAUGGAUCUGGGCUGCAUUAGCUUGUUGGUAAGGUAACGGCCUACCAAGGCAACGAUGCAUAGCCGACCUGAGAGGAUGGUCGGCCACACUAGAACGGAAACGCGGUCCAGACUCCUACGCGACGCAGCAGUAGCGAAUCGUCCGCAGUUGGCGGGAUCCUGGCGCAACAACGCCACGUGGGUUGUAGAAGUCCUCGGAUCUUAAUUCUCUGUUACUUGGGAAAAACAUAUGUGUCAGUAACUGGGCACUUCUUGACGGUACCUAAUCAAAAAGCCCCGGCUAACUACGUG